rnacentral:rRNA from 1 species
GACGAACGCUGGCGGCGUGCUUAACACAUGCAAGUCGAACGGAAAGGCCCUGCUUUUGUGUGGUGCUCGAGUGGCGAACGGGUGAGUAACACGUGAGUAACCUGCCCUUGACUUUGGGAUAACUUCAGGAAACUGGGGCUAAUACCGGAUAGGAGCUCCUGCUGCAUGGUGUGGGUUGGAAAGUUUCGGCGGUUGGGGAUGGACUCGCGGCUUAUCAGCUCGUUGGUGGGGUAGUGGCUUACCAAGGCUUUGACGGGUAGCCGGCCUGAGAGGGUGACCGGCCACAUUGGGACUGAGAUACGGCCCAGACUCCUACGGGAGGCAGCAGUGGGGAAUAUUGCACAAUGGGCGGAAGCCUGAUGCAGCAACGCCGCGUGCGGGAUGACGGCCGUCGGGUUGUAAACCGCUUUCGCCUGUGACGAAGCGUGAGUGACGGUAAUGGGUAAAGAAGCACCGGCUAACUACGUG